rnacentral:misc_RNA from 1 species
AACGCACGAGACCUGCGGACCUGCGGAAGGAUCAUCUUUGAAUUUGAUCACCAAAUUUCCAGGGGGUCUGUGGUCCACUGAGGACUCUGGCCUUCUUUUCUUCUGGGAAUUUGCAUUCGUCUUUUGACGUCUGCAUUUCCCUAACCAAUACAACACAACAAUACACAACUUUUAACAACGGAUCUCU